rnacentral:rRNA from 1 species
UACGGAGGGGGCUAGCGUUGUUCGGAAUUACUGGGCGUAAAGGGCGCGUAGGCGGCUCGGCACGUCCGUUGUGAAAUCGCCCGGCUCAACUGGGCGGGUCGGCGGAUACGGCCGAGCUGGAGCAAGCUAGGGGGUAAUGGAAUUCCCGGUGUAGUGGUGGAAUGCGUAGAUAUCGGGAGGAACACCAGUGGCGAAGGCGGUUACCUGGAGCUUUGCUGACGCUGAUGCGCGAAAGCGUGGGGAGCGAGUCCGG